rnacentral:rRNA from 1 species
UACGUAGGUGGCAAGCGUUGUCCGGGUUUAUUGGGUUUAAAGGGUGCGUAGGCGGUCUUAUAAGUCAGUGCUGAAAUAUCCCGGCUUAACCGGGAGGGUGGCAUUGAUACUGUAGGACUUGAGUAAAGUUGAGGUUGGCGGAAUUGACGGUGUAGCGGUGAAAUGCUUAGAUAUCGUCAAGAACACCGAUAGUGUAGACAGCUAACUAAGCUUUAACUGACGCUGAGGCACGAAAGUGUGGGGAUCAAACAGG